rnacentral:rRNA from 1 species
UGCAGUCGAGCGGGCCUUUCGGGGUCAGCGGCGGACGGGUGAGUAACGCGUGGGAACGUGCCCUCUGGUUCGGAAUAACUCAGGGAAACUUGAGCUAAUACCGGAUACGCCCUUUUGGGGAAAGGCUUGCUGCCGGAGGAUCGGCCCGCGUCUGAUUAGCUAGUUGGUGAGCCGUUACCUCACCAAGGCGACGAUCAGUAGCUGGUCUGAGAGGAUGAUCAGCCACACUGGGACUGAGACACGGCCCAGACUCCUACGGGAGGCAGCAGUGGGGAAUAUUGGACAAUGGGCGCAAGCCUGAUCCAGCCAUGCCGCGUGAGUGAUGAAGGCCUUAGGGUUGUAAAGCUCUUUUAUCCGGGACGAUAAUGACGGUACCGGAGGAAUAAGCCCCGGCUAACUUCGUGCCAGCAGCCGCGGUAAUACGAAGGGGGCUAGCGUUGCUCGGAAUCACUGGGCGUAAAGGGCGCGUAGGCGGCGUUUUAAGUCGGGGGUGAAAGCCUGUGGCUCAACCACAGAAUGGCCUUCGAUACUGGGACGCUUGAGUAUGGUAGAGGUUGGUGGAACUGCGAGUGUAGAGGUGAAAUUCGUAGAUAUUCGCAAGAACACCGGUGGCGAAGGCGGCCAACUGGA